rnacentral:rRNA from 1 species
CCAGAUGCGUGAAAUAAUGUGAAUUGCAGGACACAUUGAACAUCGACACUUUGAACGCAUAUUGCGGCCAAGGGUCCGUCCUUUGGCCACGCCCGUCUGAGGGUCGGCGAAGUUCUACCCAUCGCCGGAGGCUCUUUCCGGUGCGUUGAGCUCGCGUAGCAGCUGCUCCGCGUCUCCAAGUGCAGACCCGGUCCUUCCGCCGUGCGGCUCGUUUCGAGACGCCGGGAAGGCCGACCUGGAAAUGACCGACCGCUUUUCUUUUUUAUUUUUCCUUGUCUCUCUCUCUCUCUCUCUCUCUCUCAGGGGGUGUGGUGGUGAGGAAGGAAAAAGGAAAAGAAAAAAAGGUGCCCGUCCUCCUGUCGUGGGGCAUGAAGGACAUGGCUCGGAUCAACGCCCUCUCGGGGGCCGGCAUGCCUUCGCGCCACCUCCGGCACCUUUUUCUCGAUGAAUAGCGGAUCGAGCGUCUCUCAUUUCCGACCUCAGAUCGGACGAGAUUACCCGCUGAAUUUAAGCAUAUCAC